ACACUCUCGCCUCACCUUUCUCCUGCAGCUUCUCCUCCGACAUGUAGUCCGGUAGCGGGGCUAGAGGGCCAGGCACCGGGUUACCCGGCCCUCGAUAAGGAAACACUCCGGCCAUAUCCGGAGAAUCUGGGGAGCGGCGGGAUAGAAAAAUUCACUAACCACAGGCCCGGGCCCACAAGAAGCGCAGCAGAAAGGCGUCCGGGGACCCCGGCCUGCAGUCCCGCCACACAGUGCAUCCAGCCCCGCCCGGCCUAACCCCUUCGGUCACUCGGCCCGACCCGACCACGCCUCCCGCAGCCCGGCCUUAAACGCCUGCCACGCACCCCACAGGCCCUCACACAAGAGGCCGCUUUCCCCGCAGCGCAAUGGCGGCCAGACUGCGUCCGCUCCGCGUUCCCAGCGCCGGGAAGUGCGCAACCCGAGUUCAGCAGUUGAUCCAGUCGGCGCCGAGGUGCUCAGAUGGAUUAGUGAGACGACCAAUUAGAGUUGCACACUGCGCCGAGGAGGCGGGCCCAUAGGCGGAAAGGCUUUGAACGCAAGGGGGUGUGGUCGGGGUGAAGCCCCGCCUCCUCCAUUUCCGAGGCUGUUUCUGGGGCCUCUGACAGACCUCAGCGUGUGAUGGGCUCCCGGCGUCGCACUGUGAGAGAGCGAAGUCUAAAGGGUUUGAAUAAAUUUGCCAAGAUUGCGCAUUGUAC
rnacentral:lncRNA from 1 species